rnacentral:lncRNA from 1 species
AGGAAAACAAUGGAACAACAGAACCACUGAUCUACAACAAAAUCAAACGUCAACAUACAUAGAUAAGAAAUGAACUAUCAGAUUACAACUGACAUAUUCCUAAAAAUGUGUUCUUACAAGUCGCCCAGUUCUAAAAAUACUGACACAGCAUCAAGGACAAUAUGCUUAACUAAUGAUUAUUAAACGUUUAUAUAUUCCACUAGACAAGCACAAGACCGAAG